rnacentral:lncRNA from 1 species
GCUUUCAGAAGAACACUGCAAUUGAGUACUACCAACAAGCUGGUGUUGGUGUUGCUGGAACCAUGCUGAUUAAUUAGGGCUCUGUAAGACUUCCAAAACAGACCGCUAACAUACCACAUUUCAGUAUGCAUCUUCUCUCCUUUAUCUCUGUUUUGAUUACCAUAGCUUUAGAAAUAUGGAACAGUGACCUUCCCAGACUGUGGAGACACUACUGGGAAGUUAAGAUGUGGCUCUCUCAGCUCCUAUGAAAAUGAUGCAUACUGUUCAACAGAGCCCUUGAGUGUCAUUGCAGAACACUCAGCAGCAAGCAUGAAACAUGUCCUUAAAGUGAAGAUGGUUUUUAUCACAUAGUAGUGGAAGCUUUGAAGCAGCCAGGAGAGAAGGUUUUAAGAAGAGGUUGCAGAAAUAAUGUAGGAAUAGUCACCAUUGUCUUGUCAUGAGAAGUCAAAUUACAAAUGAAAUUGAUGCUUGUUUAUUAUUAUUAUUUACUGUUCGUUUAUUUUUGUUUCAUUUUCAAUAUUAACA